GAUAGUAGCACUUGAAGUGGUACAUGGAUCACAUCCUGGGGAUCUCCUAAGCAACUUAUCAUUGAGUAUGCUAGUGAAAGAAAUGCUAGAUCCACGUCUUUCCCUUCAUAUUGCUGAUCAAGUGACCAUAAACCAAGUGCUUUUAGUGAUUGUAAUAGCAAUGCAGUCCAUUAAUAACGAUCCACAGGUUCGCCCUACAAUGCAACAAGUAUCUCAAAGGUUGUCUUCUCCAAAGUUAUUGCCAACAUCUGACAACCACUCUUUUCGAGCACUUACACUUGGUCACCUCAUAAACAUUGUACAAGUGGAUAUUGAUGAUCAAGCGCAUGAAUAAUGGGAACUCAGCUCAUAUUACUAAGCGUCCCAAACAUGGAUGUUGAAUCUUUGUGCUUCACCUUACCAAUGAAAAGGCACAAUAGUUACUCAAGAGAGCUAGGGUGAUCUGAUCUUGAGUUUUCAAAGCAGUCCACUUUUGUGUUUGUUUGUCUUGGUCCUCCUUAUCUUCGUUAGUUUGUGAUGUUGUAAUGAACUCUCUUUUUUAUCUUCAUCAUUUUGUAUUGCUAUAAUUAACUCCCUUUUUAUUUUAAUAAAGUGGUUGUCCAA